AACGAACGCUGGCGGCAUGCCUAACACAUGCAAGUCGAACGAGACCUUCGGGUCUAGUGGCGCAGGGGUGCGUAACGCGUGGGAACCUGCCCUUAGGUUCGGAAUAACUCCCCGUAAGGUGUCCUCAUACCGGUUAAUGUCUUCGGGCCAAAGAUUUAUGGCCUUUGGGUGGGGCCGCGUUGGCUUGGCUAGUUGGUAGUGUAAAAGCCGGCCAACGCGACGUUCCAUGGCUGGUCUGAUAGGAUGAUCAGGCACACUGGGAAUGAGACACGGCCCAGUCUCGUACGGGGGGGAGCAGUGGGGAGUAUUAGGGGAGGAGCGAAAGCCUAGUCAAGCAAUGCGGGGUGAGUGAUGAAGGCCUUAGGGUUGUAAAGCUGUUUGACACGAGAUGAUAAUGACAGUACCGGGAGAAGAAGCUCCGGCUAACUCCGUG
rnacentral:rRNA from 1 species